rnacentral:rRNA from 1 species
GAUGAACGCUGGCGGCGUGCCUAAUACAUGCAAGUCGAGCGAACAGAUGAGGAGCUUGCUCCUCUGACGUUAGCGGCGGAAGGGUGAGUAACACGUGGAUAACCUACCUAUAAGACUGGGAUAACUUCGGGAAACCGGAGCUAAUACCGGAUAAUAUAUUGAACCGCAUGGUUCAAUAGUGAAAGACGGUUUUGCUGUCACUUAUAGAUGGAUCCGCGCCGCAUUAGCUAGUUGGUAAGGUAACGGCUUACCAAGGCAACGAUGCGUAGCCGACCUGAGAGGUGGAUCGGCCACUCUGGAGCUGAGCCACGGUCCAGACUCCUACGGGAGGCAGCAGUAGGGAAUCUGCCGCAAUGGGCGAAAGCCUGACGGAGCAACGCCGCGUGAGUGAUGAAGGUCUUCGGAUCGUAAAACUCUGUUAUUAGGGAAGAACAAAUGUGUAAGUAACUAUGCACGUCUUGACGGUACCUAAUCAGAAAGCCACGGCUAACUACGUG